rnacentral:rRNA from 1 species
GUGGGGAAUACUUGCACCAAUGGGCGAAAGCCUGAUGCAGCAACGCCCGCGUGAGGGAUGACGGCCUUUCGGGUUGGUAAACCUCUUUUAGUAGGGAAGAAGCGAGAGUGACGGUACCUGCAGAAAAAGCACCCGGCUAACUACGUGCCAGCAGCCGCGGUAAUACGUAGGGUGCAAGCGUUGUCCGGAAUUAUUGGGCGUAAAGAGCUCGUAGGCGGUUUGUCCGCGUCUGCUGUGAAAUCCCGAGGCUCAACCUCGGGCUUGCAGUGGGUACGGGCAGACUAGAGUGCGGUAGGGGAGAUUGGAAUUCCUGGUGUAGCGGUGGAAUGCGCAGAUAUCAGGAGGAACACCGAUGGCGAAGGCAGAUCUCUGGGCCGUAACUGACGCUGAGGAGCGAAAGCGUGGGGAGCGAACAGGAUUAGAUACCCUGGUAGUCCACGCCGUAAACGUUGGGCGCUAGAUGUAGGGACCUUUCCACGGUUUCUGUGUCGUAGCUAACGCAUUAAGCGCCCCGCCUGGGGAGUACGGCCGCAAGGCUAAAACUCAAAGGAAUUGACGGGGGCCCGCACAAGCGGCGGAGCAUGCGGAUUAAUUCGAUGCAACGCGAAGAACCUUACCAAGGCUUGACAUACACCGGAAACGGCCAGAGAUGGUCGCCCCCUUGUGGUCGGUGUACAGGUGGUGCAUGGUUGUCGUCAGCUCGUGUCGUGAGAUGUUGGGUUAAGUCCCGCAACGAGCGCAACCCUCGUUCUAUGUUGCCAGCGCGUUAUGGCGGGGACUCAUAGGAGACUGCCGGGGUCAACUCGGAGGAAGGUGGGGAUGACGUCAAAUCAUCAUGCCCCUUAUGUCUUGGGCUUCACGCAUGCUACAAUGGCCGGUACAAAGGGCUGCGAUACCGUAAGGUGGAGCGAAUCCCAAAAAGCCGGUCUCAGUUCGGAUUGAGGUCUGCAACUCGACCUCAUGAAGUCGGAGUCGCUAGUAAUCGCAGAUCAGCAACGCUGCGGUGAAUACGUUCCCGGGCCUUGUACACACCGCCCGUCAAGUCAUGAAAGUCGGUAACACCCGAAGCCGGUGGCCUAACCCUUGUGGGAGGAGCCGUCGAAGGU